ensembl:lncRNA
CCCCUCCCCUCCCCAGCUUCUUCCCCCCUAUUUUCCCCUCCCUCUCCCUCCACCUCCCCUCUCUGUUCGCUCCUCUCUUCUCUCCAUUCCACUCCUUCCCCGGCUUUUGUUUUUAGUGUUGAAAAGCGUAGUCUUCUUCCCAAACUCUCUAUCUCUUCUCCCUCCUUCUUUCCUUUGAGGGGUGGCUCUGACCUUUCUUUUCACCUCCAGCCCCACAGGACACACAAGUGGUGAGAAGAAAGGCCGUGGCUCCGCGGCCAGGACAAGGGCUACCUGCAGCCUCGCCCUUUGAAGUAGACAUUCUUCUCAUCUCUGUUUUACAAAGGAAGAAACGGAGACACAGAGACAUUAAGCAACUUGCCCAAGGCCACACAGCCAGUUCCCCUCUACCCCAUUCCAUUGAUCGAUCACGUCUCCUUAGUUUCCUUUUGGCUAUGACAGUUUCUCAGACUUUCCUGUUUUUGAUGACUUUGGCCUGCAGCUUUUUUAUACCCUCUGACCCUGCUCACUGCGGUCCAGAAUGCACUGCUCCAUCUACUACAGAUCACUGCUGGGUCCACCCACCCUUUUGACUUGGAGUGGAAAAGAAACCAUCACCAAGUCAACGGCUGUAUACCAUGGACCUCAGACUGUGCUAAUCUGCUGUAACAGAGACACCACAACUGGCAGCGCAGCUGCAAUUAGAGCAUGAAGAGGGGAAGUGAGGCAGAAGACGAGACCAGAAGUGCAGAUUGGUGCCAGAUUGCAAAGGGCCCUGAAGGGCUCACAAUGGGAUUGGACCAUGGCCUGAAUACGUGAGGAGUCCCCACAGGUUGUAGUAUGUUCCAUCCACUCACUCCUUUAAAACAGAAAACUGCAAGCUUCCGAAUGAACUGUCUCACUAGCUGGAGUCCGUGCUCCGUGCCGUGACGGGCUGCCCUGUUCCCGCCUUCAGGAUGGAAACGCUCAUCCUCCUGGCUAUUAAAAUGUCACAGCUGUGUCCCAGCCACCCUUAAACUUCCCUUAUUUCCGGACUAGAACGUGCUCUUCCAACCUUCCACUCCUCUGCCUUUGCUGUCCUUUCUCUGGGCUAUCUCCUCCACUUCCCAUGUCUGGAGAAAUUCUAUUCAUUCUGCAAGACUUCCUGGGAUGUUUCCUCUCCCUCGUGAUAGGAUUAACCGCUUCCUUCUGUUUCCAGAGCAUUUUGUUCACAAUGUGAGCUUAGGACUUGAACAGAUUCUGUAUGUCACGUUGUGGCUGUCAGUGUCCUUGGCUCCCCUAUGAACUGUGUACUCUGCACAUCAGUCUGGGCCAUGUGUCCUUUAUCUUCAUGUCACCAGAGGUUUCCAUACAGCCUGACACGUAAGGAAUGUUAGUGAAUUAAAUUUGUUAUUCAGUUGAAUCAGAUUCUGGUGUUAAGAAAGGAAAAUAAACUCCAGGCUGAGAUGCACACAUUUUUUCUUUCAUAAAACAUGCAUUUGUUGUCACAAAACAGUGGGCUCAAAGAGGACUUUUUGUGCUAAUCGUUUAUCAUUCUGAAUUUGUAAAGUAAAACUGUCAAAAACCUAAGUCCUUUCUUUUUCUUUCCAUCUGAAUUGGAACUAUUUAACCAGAAAUGCACGUGACUCUAAUACCUUCACAAACUGUUUAAUUGUGUGUGUGUUGAGAUGUGAGCUUAUGUUUAGAAACUCC